rnacentral:lncRNA from 1 species
CUUGACUUUGGAAUCAGCGAAAGAGAUAUUAGCAAAAGUGGUAUGAUGAAACUGACACUCCAUAUGUGCUUUAUGGAGUUGUGUUUUCCUGAUUCUUCAUGGUCCAUGUAGAUGUGUUGAUGUCUGUGCAACUGAAGGAACAAUCACCUCUUCCAGUAUUUAUAGACUGCUUUUUGCAGGUCUGCAGGCCUGCCUCUGUGAGUACAGAUGGGUUUGUCUCCAGUGUGUGGGUACACCUGCCUGUGGACUGAGCUGAUCAGGGUUGAAGCUAGGUCACAGAGAUGCUUCAGGAGUUGAAGUUGGAACUGCAGUCAGCCAGCCUGUUACCCAAGAGACAAGCAGAAUACAUUAUCUUUUGUUUUAUGCUGAAGUAGAGUGCAGCAAGCAAAAAGCAGCAAAAGACACAUAAUCAAAGUACUUGGAAUGCUGACUGUAAAAUUAUGCUGAGAACUGGCUGCAUGAUAAGAUGCUUUUCCUUCCUCUUUGUUAUUUGUAUUAUUUUGUAAAGAUAGGCCAGUGUGAGUAUGUCCAAAUAAGCUAAUAAUCUAUUUCCCUUAAAAUUUCAGCAAAUAUUCAAGAGAAUAAAAAUGUAAGUUAUUGUCCACACAGCUAAUGUUAAUUUUUCAUUAACAUAAUUUAAGUCUCGGUGAUAGUUUGAAAAUGUUCAUAAUGUUCAUUAUCUAAUAAAAUAGAUAAUUGUGGAAUUAUCUAACUCGUAGAAGAUUAAUUGUGGAAGAGUUGUUUGUAUAUUUGUAACUGUCUCGUUUUUAGUAAAACCAAUUUUUUUUUCUGAGUUAAAAUAUUAAACAAUGAAAAAGUAAACUCAAUAAAUGUAAUUCAGUGCCUUGCAUAAUAGAAAAAUGUUAACAAGGUAAAAGCUGUUAAAAUUGGGAUGGUUUCAAAUUUUAAUGUGAAAAUUUCUGUGAUAAUUUAAUCUGCUAAUAUAAUGUUUAACUCUAGAUCUCUUUCUUGUGACAUGGCUCGAUGCAAUUUAGGUUGCUGUCAUUAAAAUUCUACAAGCACAUCAUACAGGCCUAUCUGCAGUGUAC